rnacentral:rRNA from 1 species
UACGGGGGGGGCAAGCGUUGUUCGGAAUUACUGGGCGUAAAGGGCUCGUAGGCGGCCAACUAAGUCAGACGUGAAAUCCCCAGGCUCAACCUGGGAACUGCGUCUGAUACUGGAUGGCUUGAAUUCGGGAGAGGGAUGCAGAAUUCCAGGUGUAGCGGUGAAAUGCGUAGAUAUCUGGAGGAAUACCGGUGGCGAAGGCGGCAUCCUGGACCGACAUUGACGCUGAGGAGCGAAAGCCAGGGGAGCAAACGGG